rnacentral:rRNA from 1 species
CCUCAGAUCAGGCAAGGCUACCCGCUGAGUUUAA